rnacentral:rRNA from 1 species
ACGAACGCUUGCGGCGUGCUUAACACCUGCAAGUCGAACGGAAAGGCCCUGCUUUUGUGGGGUGCUCGAGUGGCGAACGGGUGAGUAACACGUGAGUAACCUGCCCUUUACUUUGGGAUAACUUCAGGAAACUGGGGCUAAUACCGGAUAGGAGCUCCUGCUGCAUGGUGGGGGUUGGAAAGUUUCGGCGGUUGGGGAUGGACUCGCGGCUUAUCAGCAUGUUGGUGGGGUAGUGGCUUACCAAGGCUUUGACGGGUAGCCGGCCUGAGAGGGUGACCGGCCACAUUGGGACUGAGAUACGGCCCAGACGCCUACGGGAGGCAGCAGUGGGGAAUAUUGCACAAUGGGCGGAAGCCUGAUGCAGAAACGCCGCGUGCGGGAUAACGGCCUUCGGGUUGUAAACCGCUUUCGCCUGUGACGAAGCGUGAGUGACGGUAAUGGGUAAAGAAGCAACGGCUAACUACGUG